AUAGAACAGAGGAACAAAAAGAACGAACUCUUGAAGCGAAGGCGAAGAUGUCUCGAAGAACCCCGGGAGUCCGGUGAAAGCUUUGGCGGAGGUAGCGGCUUCAAGUAUUUAUCUCUUCUUUGUUUCUGCGUCUGUUCUUCUCCUUGCCUUAAUCUCUGUUCCUUCUUCUUUUUCGAUUUUCUUUCGUUUUGUUAGGGUUGCUAUUAAGAUGGUGGUUUUUAGCUCAAACUUGUUGAGAUUCAAUGUGAAAUCUCAACAAGCUUAGAAAUUUAGAGCUCUAAUUAAGUGUUUUGGACUCUUUUCUGCAGAGUAACGGUAUCCUC
rnacentral:lncRNA from 1 species